rnacentral:rRNA from 1 species
GGGGGAAAAUUUAAAAAAUUAUAAAUAAUAAAAAUAAUUUUAAUUUAAUAAUAUUUAAUGGGGGUUAAAGUAUUAUUUAAAGAAAAAAUUUAAAAAUUUAUAAAGAAAUAUUAUAGUGAUAGAAUUAUUGAAAUAAUAGUGAAAAAAAAAAUUAUUAAAAAGUAAUUUUUAAUUAAUGUAUCUUGUGUAUCAGAGUUUAUUAAAUAAAUUUUUUAUAAAAAAAAUUCUCGAAUUUAAAAGAGAUAAAUAAUAAAUAAUAAAUUUAUUGUUGUAAAAAUAUUUUUAAUAUUUAUUUUGAAAUGAUAUGUUAAUCGUUUUUAAAGAUAUCUAGUUUUUUUAGAAAAAAAUUUAAUUUUAAAUUUUUAUUAUUAAUAAAUAAAUUAAUUUAUUUAUUAAAAUAAAUUUUUUUAUAAUUUAAGGGAUAAGCUUUAAAUUAAAUUUUUAUAAUAAAUAAAUUUAAUUAAUAAAAAUUUUAUAAUUUAUAUUUUUAAUAAAUUUUAAUUUUUUAUAAAUAAUUUUAUUAAUAAAAAAAUUUAAUUUAAUUUAAUUUUUUAUAAAAAAAUAAUUUUUAAUUAAAAAAAAAUUAGUUAUAAUGAUAAAAUUAGUAUAUAAAAAUUUAUAUUUAAAAUAAUUUAUUAAUUUAUGAAAAGGAAUUCGGCAAAAAUUUAUAUUUACCUGUUUAUCAAAAACAUGUCUUUUUGAUUAUAAUUUAAAGUCUAAUCUGCCCACUGAUAAAAAUUAAAGGGCUGCAGUAUUUUGACUGUACAAAGGUAGCAUAAUCAAUAGUCUCUUAAUUAGUGACUUGUAUGAAUGAUUGGAUAAGAUAUAAACUGUCUCUUUAUAAAAUAAUAGAAUUUAAUUUUUUUAUUAAAAAGUUAAAAUAAAAAAAAAAGACGAGAAGACCCUAUAGAGUUUUAUAAAAAAUUAAAUUAAAAUUUUUUAUAUAAUUUUAGUUAAAAUUUAAUUUUUUAUUUUGUUGGGGUGAUAAAAAAAUUAAAUUAACUUUUUUUAUUAUAUAUAUAUAUAUAUAUAUAUAUAUAUGAGCAUAGAUAAAUGAAUAAUUGAUCCAUAAUUUAUGAUUAAAUGAUUAAAUUACCUUAGGGAUAACAGCGUAAUUUUUUUUUUUAGUUCAUAUAAAAAGGAAAGUUUGCGACCUCGAUGUUGGAUUAAGAUAAAAUUUAAAUGCAAAAGUUUAAAAUUUUGAUCUGUUCGAUCAUUAAAAUCUUACAUGAUCUGAGUUCAAACCGGUGUAAGCCAGGUUGGUUUCUAUCUUUUUUAAAUUGAAAUAUUUUAGUACGAAAGGAUCAAAUAUUUAAAAUAAUUUUAUUAAUUUGAAUUUUAUUAAAUAUAUUUAUAUUAUAUAAAAU